CGCGUCGUGGGUGUUUGGGUGCAACGUAGUGCUCCCGGUUUUAUUUUGUUUAAGCGACCUUUUCUGAAGUGUCAACCAAGGCUCAAACACUUGUCGUUGCGGGGAUCGGCUUCAGAGGGUCAAGGAUGGCGUCUUGAAUCGCUGUUCAGUCGACAGGCAACUGUAUGACAACGCCAUCCCUGUCAACCAGAGCGUCGACCGAAGUAGGGCGGUGUUGCGCGGACCUGGCCGCACCCGACCAACCGGUGGAGUACCUGACUCGGGCUGGGCGGAGACUGCCUACAUCACGACCUUUUGAACUUUGAUCUCGUAGCGAGAAACAAUAUGACGUAAGGAAGUGUGUAUCAGUAUGUGGCUGGCGGGGCCGAGGGUGAAAUGCGCCACGUGUUUAUCCUGCCGGAUGACGACAGCGUCACCAACCUGUCAAAGAACGAGCUGGUGCAGCGCGUGAUGACUGCUAUCUCGUCCCUAGAACCGGAGUAGAAAAACGUGCGCAUAGCCCAAAUGAAGCGAACCAAAACACAGACAGGACUGAUAGCUUUUCGGUCGAGAAUGUUCUGAAGAUGCUGAUCAGUAGACCAAUUGGUGACCGUUUUCGGUGGUAAUAUGGGAUCUUGUGGUGUUCCAAAGCGACCUGCUUUGGGUGUGGACAUAAGUGGCUCAACCUGACAGGAUUGAUGUUUUAGGUAGCCGUGCUAAUCAUAAACCCUAUAUUGAGUGUAUCUGUACAAAUUUUGUUUAUAUUUAUUUCAUGUAUUUGAUUCGAAACCGAAAAUUGCUCUUUGUAAUUAGGCAACAUCGAGACGUUGAGGUCAUUCUCCAGACGUUUAUUUGUUUUUCUUACCUGUCCACGGUAUGUCUUAUUGGUUAGGUCUCAGUUUCAAAUAUUAUUAACUGCAUGUUUUGCAAAUACGUAGCCAUAUUGAAUAAGAGACGUGUCCCAAAAGUGAGUAUUGCUUUGCAUGGGAUGUGAGCAUCAACGACAGGGCUUUGUGAUGGCAAAUGUGUGGCAAUUGCAGGGAUCUUUGUGAAAUGUGUUAUGAAUAUCAUCGUAUUAUUUGCGAAUGCAAAUACAUCCGUGUAUCAUAUUUUCA